AGCGAACGCUGGCGGCAUGCUUAACACAUGCAAGUCGCACGGGCAGGGGCAACCCUGUCAGUGGCGGACGGGUGAGGAACGCGCAGGAACCUGUCCUUGGGUGGGGGCUAAGCGUGGGAAACUACGGCGAAUACCGCAUAACCAGCUGGGCUGUGGCGGCCCGGGUCUACCGGCGCAAGCCGCAUGAGGAGGAGCCUGCGUCCGAUUGCGCUAGUUGGUGGGGUAAUGGACUACCAAGGCUGCGAUCGGUAGCUGGUCUGAGAGGAUGAUCAGCCACACUGGGAAUGAGACACGGCCCAGACUCCUACGGAGGCAGCAGUGGGGAAUAUUGGACAAUGGGCGAAAGCCUGAUCCAGCAAUGCCGCGUGGGUGAAGAAGGUCUUCGGAUUGUAAAGCCCUUUCGGCGGGGACGAUGAUGACGGUACCCGCAGAAGAAGCCCCGGCUAACUUCGUGCCAGCCGCCGCAGUAAAAC
rnacentral:rRNA from 1 species